UGCAGCGCAGCCUACCGGAUUAGUCGCUGGGUCAUCGUCUCCUUCGAUAGCCAUGCGCCCUGCGGGGCAGGGUACGUCGACAUCAGCAAGCCGCGGCAGAGGUCGUGGCGGGGCUCCCAGUUCAAGCGGUCCUUCGAACCGCAUCUAUGCCUUGACUAGUCGACAGGACCCGGAGGCGCUACCAAACGCGGAUACAGGUAUACUAAUGUCUUUUUCGAAAUAUAAGUGUAUUAACAGAUUUAGCCUCUACUAUGUGAUAUAUUUUCCCCAAAAUGCUUACAAGACCCUAUAAGAUUAAUUUAACAUUCGAGGACGAAUGUUCUAAAGGGGGGGAGGAUGUUACAUCCCGUAUUUUUGAACGUCGGAUUAAUUGUAAGUUGAGGUGGGGCCCACACGUCAAGAUUUUUUUUUGGGACAUGUGACAAAUUAUAUGAAUCACAUAUGUGAAGUUAAACACAACUCAGGAAGGACCCUUGGGCCAAAUCAAAGUGGAAGUCCUCCAAACGAAUAUUUUUAAGAAAACGUUUUCGGGUGACCUGACUUUGGGGGGCCAAAACGGUAUUAUAUGUUUGGAAUUUGGAAAAAUACCAAGAAGUAAAAGUUGUAGAUAAUUGAAUUAUCUUUCCAUCCAUAGGUCGUGGGUUCCCAGGUGACGUCGGUACAAGGAGAUAUGAACGUUUUAAGGCAGAAAGGUCAGUGGGCUAGGCCCAAUCCGAGCCCAACCGGGUUAGGCCCAUUACCCAUGUCCUUAUAAGUGCCAAUUUCGGCCUUCUUCAUCAUUUUAACACCAGGAACAACCAGAAAAUUCUGGAAAAAGAGAGAGGAGCUUUGGAGAGAAAAAAAAACAAUUUUGACCAAAAUCCGAGCCCCGAAUCCCGAAGCCCAUGAAGGGAAAAGUGUUGUACGCUACGUUGUCUUCAAUUUGAGCUAAAAAUCAACCAAAGAGGAGAGUGAUGACGUGGUGGCUGCCUACUUAAGGUUUUGGACGAAACGGGGUUUGAGUUUUGGCAAGCGUAAAGGGCAAGAAAGGUACCGACGACAGGUUUGCUGAUCCGUCCGCUUAGGAUCUUAUUCUCCUAUUUUGGAGCGCUCUCUUAUCCAGAGCCCAUCUUUUGGUAUAGUCUGUCACUACUGUAUAUAUAUAUUCUCGUUCAUGGGUACAGCGGGGCCCUGUCCCGUCAUAUGAUUAUGUCGGUCUGUUUAGAGGUCUGUGGACAUGUUUGUGGGUUAGGGUCUUUCUGUAUGGAUGUAUGUACAUGUCGUUUGGGCGAUCCCAUACGCCGAGGCGGCCGGUCCGCGUAUGUUUAUAUAUUGCUUGGUUAGCCCUGUGUGGCUUUUGUUGGUAUUUUCUGCGUGCAGGGUAUAUUGGAUAGUCCGUAAAACAAAGGAAACUCUGUCGAAAUUUUUCUGGAAAUUACCUAAAUUUGAAAUAAAGCCUUGUCGGCUUCCGCCAUAUACUAGAAUGAGUUGAUAGAAUUUGAGAUAAUAUUUGAUAGAUGGGUUCGGGUGCCCAGAUCGGGCACUAGUCACGGCCGACGGGGUUGGGUCGUGACAG